rnacentral:tRNA from 1 species
GGGCCUAUAGCUCAAUUGGUUAGAGCCCCCCGCUCAUAACGGGGUCGUUCUAGGUUCAAGUCCUAGUGGGCCCA